rnacentral:rRNA from 1 species
UACGUAGGGUGCGAGCGUUGUCCGGAAUUAUUGGGCCGUAAAGAGCUUGUAGGCGGUUUGUCGCGUCUGCUGUGAAAAUCCGGGGCUCAACCCCGGACUUGCAGUGGGUACGGCAGACUAGAGUGUGGUAGGGGAGACUGGAAUUCCUGGUGUAGCGUGGAAUGCGCAGAUAUCAGGAGGAACACCGGUGCGAAGGCGGGUCUCUGGGCCGAUACUGACGCUGAGGAGCGAAAGCGUGGGGAGCGAACAGG